rnacentral:rRNA from 1 species
UACAGAGACUGCAAGCGUUAUUCGGAUUCACUGGGCGUAAAGGGUGCGCAGGCGGCCAAGUGUGUCAGGUGUGAAAUCCCGAGGCUUAACCUCGGAACUGCGCCUGAAACUACUUGGCUAGAGUACUGGAGAGGGUAACGGAAUUCACGGUGUAGCAGUGAAAUGCGUAGAUAUCGUGAGGAACACCAGAGGCGAAAGCGGUUACCUGGACAGUUACUGACGCUCAGGCACGAAAGCGUGGGGAGCAAAAGGG